UGGGUGAUUAGCUCAGUGGUAGAGCGCCUGCUUUACACGCAGGAUGCCGUAGGUUCAAAUCCUACAUUACCCAUCC
rnacentral:tRNA from 1 species